UACGGAGGGUGCAAGCGUUAUCCGGAUUCACUGGGGUUAAAGGGUGCGUAGGCGGGUAUGUAAGUCAGCGGUGAAAUCCCCGAGCUUAACUUGGGAACUGCCGUUGAUACUAUAUAUCUUGAAUGUCGUGGAGGUUAGCGGAAUAUGUCAUGUAGCGGUGAAAUGCUUAGAUAUGACAUAGAACACCUAUUGCGAAGGCAGCUAACUACGCGAAUAUUGACGCUGAGGCACGAAAGCGUGGGGAUCAAACAGG
rnacentral:rRNA from 1 species